rnacentral:rRNA from 1 species
GUAGGGUGCAAGCGUUAAUCAGAAUUACUGGGCGUAAAGCGUGCGCAGGCGGUUGUGCAAGACAGAUGUGAAAUCCCCGGGCUCAACCUGGGAACUGCAUUUGUGACUGCACGGCUAGAGUGUGUCAGAGGGGGGUAGAAUUCCACGUGUAGCAGUGAAAUGCGUAGAUAUGUGGAGGAAUACCGAUGGCGAAGGCAGCCCCCUGGGAUAACACUGACGCUCAUGCACGAAAGCGUGGGGAGCAAACAGGAUUAGAUACCCCUGGUAGUCCCACGCCCCUAAACGAUGUCAACCUAGUUGUCGGGUCUUAAUUGACUUGGUAACGCAGCUAACGCGUGAAGUUGACCGCCUGGGGAGUACGGUCGCAAGAUUA